GGCCUGGAUAGCUGAGUUGGUUAGAGUGUGGUGCUGAUAAUGCCACAACUGCAGGUUCAAUUCCCGUAUGGGAUGGCCA